UCGAGUGGCGAACGGGUGAGUAACACGUGGGUGAUCUGCCCUGCACUUCGGGAUAAGCUUGGGAAACUGGGUCUAAUACCGGAUAGGACCGCACUUUAGUGUGUGUGGUGGAAAGUUUUUUCGGUGUAGGAUGAGCUCGCGGCCUAUCAGCUUGUUGGUGGGGUAAUGGCCUACCAAGGCGGCGACGGGUAGCCGGCCUGAGAGGGUGUACGGCCACAUUGGGACUGAGAUACGGCCCAGACUCCUACGGGAGGCAGCAGUGGGGAAUAUUGCACAAUGGGCGCAAGCCUGAUGCAGCGACGCCGCGUGGGGGAUGAAGGCCUUCGGGUUGUAAACUCCUUUCGCUAGGGACGAAGCUUUGUUGUGACGGUACCUAGAUAAGAAGCACCGGCUAACUACGUGCCAGCAGCCGCGGUAAUACGUAGGGUGCGAGCGUUGUCCGGAAUUACUGGGCGUAAAGGGCUCGUAGGUGGUUUGUCGCGUCGUCUGUGAAAUUCUGGGGCUUAACUCCGGGCGUGCAGGCGAUACGGGCAUAACUUGAGUGCUGUAGGGGUAACUGGAAUUCCUGGUGUAGCGGUGAAAUGCGCAGAUAUCAGGAGGAACACCGAUGGCGAAGGCAGGUUACUGGGCAGUUACUGACGCUGAGGAG
rnacentral:rRNA from 1 species